rnacentral:rRNA from 1 species
GAUGAACGCUGGCGGCGUGCCUAAUACAUGCAAGUCGAGCGAACAGACGAGGAGCUUGCUCCUCUGACGUUAGCGGCGGACGGGUGAGUAACACGUGGAUAACCUACCUAUAAGACUGGGAUAACUUCGGGAAACCGGAGCUAAUACCGGAUAAUAUAUUGAACCGCAUGGUUCAAUAGUGAAAGACGGUUUUGCUGUCACUUAUAGAUGGAUCCGAACCGCAUUAGCUAGUUGGUAAGGUAACGGCUUACCAAGGCAACGAUGCGUAGCCGACCUGAGAGGGUGAUCGGCCACACUGGAACUGAGACACGGUCCAGACUCCUACGGGAGGCAGCAGUAGGGAAUCUUCCGCAAUGGGCGAAAGCCUGACGGAGCAACGCCGCGUGAGUGAUGAAGGUCUUCGGAUCGUAAAACUCUGUUAUUAGGGAAGAACAAAUGUGUAAGUAACUAUGCACGUCUUGACGGUACCUAAUCAGAAAGCCACGGCUAACUACGUG